CAAUAGCGUAUAUUUAAGUUGUUGCAGUUAAAAAGCUCGUAGUUGGAUUUCGGGUGGGACGCAGCGGUCUCGCAUUGCGUUUGUACUGCUGCAGCCCUCCUUCUUGCCGGGGGCGGCCUCUCGGACUUCACUGUCUGGGGGUCAGAAUCGGCGAUGUUACUUUGAGUAAAUUAGAGUGUUCAAAGCAAGCUUACGCUCUGAAUAUAAUAGCAUGGGAUAACACGACAGGACUCUGGCCUAUCGUGUUGGUCUAUAGGACCAGAGUAAUGAUUAAGAGGGACAGUCGGGGGCAUUCGUAUUCCGUUGUCAGAGGUGAAAUCCUUGGAUUUACGGAAGACGAACAUCUGCGAAAGCAUUUGCCAAGGAUGUUUUCAUUGA
rnacentral:rRNA from 1 species